rnacentral:rRNA from 1 species
GACGAACGCUGGCGGCGUGCCUAAUACAUGCAAGUCGAACGCUUCUUUUUCACCGAACUUCGGUUCAUCGAAAAAGAGGAGUGGCGAACGGGUGAGUAACACGUGGGUAACCUGCCCAUCAGAAGGGGAUAACACUUGGAAACAGGUGCUAAUACCGUAUAAUGCUUUUUCUCGCAUGAGAGCAAGCUGAAAGGCGCUUUUGCGUCACUGAUGGAUGGACCCGCGGUGCAUUAGCUAGUUGGUGAGGUAACGGCUCACCAAGGCCACGAUGCAUAGCCGACCUGAGAGGGUGAUCGGCCACACUGGGACUGAGACACGGCCCAGACUCCUACGGGAGGCAGCAGUAGGGAAUCUUCGGCAAUGGACGAAAGUCUGACCGAGCAACGCCGCGUGAGUGAAGAAGGUUUUCGGAUCGUAAAACUCUGUUGUUAGAGAAGAACAAGGAUGAGAGUAAAAUUUUCAU